rnacentral:rRNA from 1 species
CUUGGCGGCCAUAGCGCGGUGGUCCCACCUGAUCCCAUGCCGAACUCAGAAGUGAAACGCCGUAGCGCCGAUGGUAGUGUGGGGUCUCCCCA